rnacentral:rRNA from 1 species
UACGAAGGGGGCUAGCGUUGGCUCGGAAUCACUGGGCGUAAAGCGCACGUAGGCGGCUUUUAAGUCAGGGUGAAAUCCUGGAGCUCAACUCCAGAACUGCCCUUUGAUACUGAGAAGCUUGAGUCCGGGAGAGGUGAGUGGAACUGCGAGUGUAGAGGUGAAAUUCGUAGAUAUUCGCAAGAACACCAGUGGCGAAGGCGGCUCACUGGUCCGGUACUGACGGCUGAUGUGCGAAAGCGUGGGGAGCAAACAGG